rnacentral:rRNA from 1 species
UGAGGAAUAUUGCGCAAUGGGCGAAAGCCUGACGCAGCGACGCCGCGUGAAGGAUGAAGGUCUUCGGAUCGUAAACUUCUGUUAAGUGGGAAGAAAGACUCGUUUCUAAUAAAAACGAGGGAUGACAGUACUAUUAGAGAAAGCACCGGCUAACUUCGUGCCAGCAGCCGCGGUAAUACGAAGGGUGCUAGCGUUAUUCGGAAUCAUUGGGCGUAAAGGGCGCGUAGGCGGCCUGUUAAGUUUGCUGUUAAAUCUUUCGGCCUAACCGAAAAACUGCAGCAAAAACUGAUAGGCUAGAGUGUAAGAGAGAGAAGUGGAAUUCUCGGAGUAGCGGUAAAAUGCGUAGAUCUCGAGAGGAACACCGAUGGCGAAGGCAGCUUCUUGGCUUACUACUGACGCUGAGGCGCGAAAGCGUGGGGAGCAAACAGG